rnacentral:rRNA from 1 species
UACGUAGGGGGCAAGCGUUGUCCGGAUUUAUUGGGCGUAAAGAGCGUGUAGGCGGCCAGGUAGGUCAGCUGUGAAAACUCGAGGCUCAACCUCGAGACGUCGGUUGAAACCACCUGGCUAGAGUCCGGAAGAGGAGAGUGGAAUUCCUGGUGUAGCGGUGAAAUGCGCAGAUAUCAGGAGGAACACCGGUGGCGAAGGCGGGUCUCUGGGAAGUAACUGACGCUGAGAAGCGAAAGCGUGGGUAGCGAACAGG